rnacentral:rRNA from 1 species
AUUGAACGCUGGCGGCAGGCUUAACACAUGCAAGUCGAGCGAGCGGCGGACGGGUGAGGAAUGUCUGGGAAACUGCCUGCUGGAGGGGGAUAACUACUGGAAACGGUAGCUAAUACCGCAUACCAUCAGAUGUGCACAGAUGGGAGUAGCUAGUAGGUGGGGUAAUGGCUCACCUAGGCGACGAUACCUAGCUGGUCUGAGAGGAUGGCCAGCCACAGGGCAAAGGGGACAAGGUCCAGACUCCUACGGGAGGCAGGGUUGGGGAAUAUGAGACAAUGAGCGGAAGCCUAAAGCGCCCAUGCCGGGUGAGUGAAGAAGGGCUUCGGGUUGUAAAGCAUGUUCAUCGAGGAAGCGGUACUCGCAGAAUAAGCACCGGCUAACUCCGUGCCAGCAGCCGCGGUAAUUC